rnacentral:misc_RNA from 1 species
AUCUGUUGAAAAAUUUACCUGUGAUUCUGAAGACAAGUUGUGCAGUGCUGGAAAUGAUGCAAAUGUGAUCCAAGUGCUGGAACAAGCACUUGAAGAAGAGAAAGCUGCCCGUGCAGUUCUUUACCAAGAGUUGGAGAAAGAGAGGGCUGCUGCUGCAACUGCAGCUGAUGAAGCCAUGGCAAUGAUAUUGCGGUUGCAAGAGGAUAAGGCAUCAAUUGAAAUGGAAGCGAGGCAGUAUCGCCGGGUGAUAGAAGAAAAAUGUGCUUAUGAUGAAGAAGAGAUGAACAUUCUGAAAGAGAUCC